UUAAUAGUACCGUAUGAAUAUAUUUGAGUUAAUUGGUUUCGAUUGUUUGAUUCACUAUUAAUCAAAUUUAAUAAUUUUUUAUUUUUUUAAAUACAUCUUUUUCAUCCAUUACAAAUCUAAAUACUAAAGUUUACACGUUUAUUAUUAGAGAUGCUUAUGUAACCAUCAGUAAUGGAACAAUUACUCACGUGAUUUUGAUUUGCAGAUAGAUGGAUUUUGGUAAUGCAGGCCCGUAUCCAUUUCCUUGAAAACAACAUAAUUUAAGUAAUGAGGCUGCUGUUAUGGAAAAUUUUAUGGUAAAAUCUUGUGAGGCAGAUCAUACAAAUUUAAGAAAGCCCUUUUGAAAAACACUUUUUUUGUUAAUAUAUUUUUAAACCAUGAGUGUAAUCAACACACUCGCCACUGUAUUGGAAUUAUCUGUUCUUCCUGACGAUAUUCAACAUAUUUUAUUUGAAUCCGGUUUUACACUAAGGUCAUUUGUAUUAACCACACAAGAGGGCCUUGUCAAAUUAGGAUUUAGGAUGGCAGAAAAAAAGUUACUGCAGAAAUGGAUUAGGGCUCAACCGGUUGUUAAUAUUCCAGCUGGUAAUGAAUAUGUUGCCACACAGUGUUUAUUGAGUAUUGAUAAAAAAAGUGAACUUGCGGUUGAAUGUCUUGUUUGGCUUCUCCUACCCCAUCAAAAAAAAAACAGUUAAAAUGACUUGUUUGCUACCGAAUGUGGUUAUGCAAAAUCUUUUCUUUGACUUCAAGGGUGGCACAGUUGACAGUGCACUAAAGACACUGGAGGAUCGCGGGGUUAAAUAACCAAUGAUGUUGCGCAUAUCUGAUGGAUAUUAUAUAAAGGCUGACAACACAGUUUUAACACUGCCUUGUUGCAGCUGUUUUAUGAAGGCAUUGGAGUUUUUAUUUAUGUUUUUUUAUGUUUUCGCCGUGAAAUAUCCGACCGAAUUUAGAUUUUUUUAUGGCUUUUUGGAGAAAGUCAUGGGACUUAAAUGUACUGUGAAAAGUUCAACCGUUGCUGAUUUGUUUACUAACAUAAUUUUUCUUACAUAUGUAUAAAUAUGUAAGAAAGGAUGGGUUUAAAUAUGUUU